GAAAAUCAUUAAAUGAUAUUUAGUUGGUAUACAAUAUUUCAUCACUUUCAUCAUCAUUUACCAUGAUAUUAAUAGCAACAUCUACUUCUAGACAAACCCAUUACAUCUUAUUAACAUAUUAUUACUUAGAAGAAGAAGGAGAAGAAAAUAUAAAAAAGAAAGAAAUUAAAAGAGAUGAAGAUAGUCUUUUUUUUUUUUUAAUAAGGAAAAAAAAUCUCUCAUAAACAUUAGUGUUUAUUAUGUAAAAGAAAAAGAGUGGAAGAGAAGCGAUCCAAAUGAGGGAAU
rnacentral:misc_RNA from 1 species